rnacentral:rRNA from 1 species
CCUACGGGUGGCUGCAGUGGGGAAUAUUGCACAAUGGGCGCAAGCCUGAUGCAGCCAUGCCGCGUGUGUGAAGAAGGCCUUCGGGUUGUAAAGCACUUUCAGCGGGGAGGAAGGCGGUGAGGUUAAUAAACUCAUCGAUUGACGUUACCCGCAGAAGAAGCACCGGCUAACUCCGUGCCAGCAGCCGCGGUAAUACGGAGGGUGCAAGCGUUAAUCGGAAUUACUGGGCGUAAAGCGCACGCAGGCGGUCUGUCAAGUCGGAUGUGAAAUCCCCGGGCUCAACCUGGGAACUGCAUUCGAAACUGGCAGGCUAGAGUCUUGUAGAGGGGGGUAGAAUUCCAGGUGUAGCGGUGAAAUGCGUAGAGAUCUGGAGGAAUACCGGUGGCGAAGGCGGCCCCCUGGACAAAGACUGACGCUCAGGUGCGAAAGCGUGGGGAGCAAACAGGAUUAGAUACCCUAGUAGUC